rnacentral:lncRNA from 1 species
CAACUAGAGGCCUUGGAAACCGAGAGGUGCUGUAACUGGGCUGCAGACCUAGGACCAUGAGUUGCUAGAGUGCUGAAUGGGCAAUUUUAAAAACAACAUACUGGUCUGGACUUUGUGAUUCAAGUCAUGUGAAGAGCUCCUAAUGUGGAAAUCCCUCCAUGGAUCCAGGAGUCUUCAGAGAGGCCUCAUACCAGCUUCCAGCUCAGGAGAGAGUCCCAUACCACAGAGCUCUGGGAUUUGGGUUACAUCAGGUUCCCCUUCCUGUCUGCCCUGAGGAUGCCGGAGAUGUUCAUUUUGGUUUUGUACAAAUAAUAAUUACAGUCAGCUAAGUCAACUACAUUUCCCCCCAAUUACCAUGCAGCAUACUAACCAUUAUACAUGUCAUUAAAUCUGUGUCAUG